GAAUACCAAGCAUCUAAUCGAGAUAUCUCGAUUGUAACUCCAGCUUGAAAGCGAACAAGCUCCCCUUUAAAACCAGCAGCAAGCACUGCAGCAAGAAUACCACCAUCAUGGAACUUAUGUGGCCCAAGCCCAUCAUUUCCUGUUGCUAAGCAGCGCAAUACAACCUCAACACAAUAGUUGUCUCUGGACGAUAUAGAGACAUUCACCAUUAUUUGGCGAUUUAAUACUUCUUCCUCACUGACAGAAGAGUAAAGGGCGCUCAUUAACGUUGUGCAUAAGGUGGCAUCGGGAGCCAUACAAUCACCAGCUGAUGAACAAAGCAUCGCAGUCGCAUGCAACUCCAGGAAAACAGGUUCAUCACUUUCCAAUACGCGAUCUUCAGUUGGAACUAACCAUGGAUUUUCUUGCCGUUGUAGAAGCGAGAGUGAUGUAUCAAGUGUUUCUCUAGCUGCUAUAACUUCCUUCUGCUUCUCCUCAUCUGAGAGUUCAACUGGUGAAAUUUCUGCGUUCUCUAGCUCAACCUUUAGCCAGUUGCGAUAAGUUGCAUCACAUGAAUAGAACUCACUCCAAUCCUGGAACUCCUUUAGAUUCUCCGAGAACUCAUAACUCUCAAUGGAAACAAGCUCAUCUGAGAGUUGUUUCAAUGGCUCAGCCAGUAAACUGAGCAAAGUAUGAGCGCCGAUGGGCAUUGCUGGAACCCUCCACAUUGAAAUAAGAGCAAAUUCCCUGAACAGCACAUUGCUGUGCAUCAACGCCCGGAAAAGAAGUUUCAUACUAACAGACGUAGAAUUAUUGAUUGUUGAAGGAGGUGUAAAACAAAGCCACUGAAUUACCAUAGCUUUCUGAAGGCUCUGCAAUCGAUGCUGCUCUGCAACAUCAGUUUCACUAUCAUAUUUCCCAACUCUGAUUUCACGAGACCUUGAAAGAACCCUUUCAAUGAUCUCCUCAAAACUGCCCUUCGA
rnacentral:misc_RNA from 1 species